CAAAAGCAUGAAUUUAAGACUGGAGGCCAAAGAGAGAGGACCAAAGAGGAGGACGCGUUCUCAGUGGGGCAGGACUGCCUACUGAGGGGACUUGGGAACGGACGGCCUGAGGACGAGAGCUGCCGUUUCCCAGGAAGACCGGAGGUUACAAAGCCUGGCGCUCACUCUUCACGUGGAGGAGUGGCCCCUCCUCCGGUGCCAGGAGUGCCCCGCUGAGAUUCGCGGGAAAGCAACUCAAAGAAGUUCAUUCUGAUCGGAGGGAGGGAUGGCCCCCAAACGCCAAUCUUCGCUCCAGUCUCAAACGAAGAAACCCAAACUGCCUCCUGCCCCAAGGCAGGCGGAUUCAUCGGCCUCUCCGGGCUUGCCGAAGGGUG